rnacentral:lncRNA from 1 species
CAUAUUUCAAUAUACUGAGUUUAGCAUGUAGAAGGAAUAUAUGUUUUCUAAUGUGAUCUUCUAAAUGGCUUUCUACCUAAUUUGGAAAAUGUUUUAAAGACAGACAGAGCCUAGCCUUUUCAACUGUAAAAUGGGAAGGUAUCCAUUUGCUGAAGCUUUCUUUUUUUAGAAUGUUCAAACUCAGACAUUUUAUAGACUAAAUAAAUUGCUUAAGUCAACAAUAUCCUGGAUUCUAUAAAUUAACAGCAUCUUUCUUAAAUUGCCAUUAUCGUAUGCAUUGCAAGUAAUAUACUAUCAUCUGAUUUAUACUCUAAGUUGCAAAUGUAUAAUUACUAGAAUUUAACCUCUCCAGAUUGAUGUAAUUCAACCUAAUUAUCCUGGCUACAUAAAUGCAUGCUAAUCAGCAAGAACAUACUUAAAUAAAACAAGAAUGUUAAAACACAACAAGUACAGAAUAAACAAACACUUGAAGAAGGAAAAAAAAUUCAAGGACUAAUUAAUAAUCAGCAAUAAAUCAUAAAUGUGUACUAUGUUAAAGGGUUUCCCUGUCCACUCGGACCUCAGUGUGGCCAGAAUUGUUUCAGCAUGUAUUCUGAACACUGUCCACAUUCAUGGUUCUGCCUCUGUAUUCAUUUCUUUUCUUUCUUUCUUUCUUUUCUUUCUUUUCUUUCUUUUCUUUCUUUCUUUCUUUCUUUCUUCCUUUCUUCCUUUCUUUCUUUCUUUCUUUCUUUCUUUCUUUCUUUCUUUCUUUCUUUCUUUCUUUCUUUCUUUCUUUCUUUUUUAAAUGACUUACCUAACACUAAUUCAGGAGUUCCCAUCGUGGUGCAGCAGAAACAAAUCCAACUAGGAACCAUGAGGUUGCGGGUUUGAUCCCUGGCCUUGCUCAGUGGGUUAAGGAUUUGGCAUUGCCGUGAGCUGUGGUGUAGGUCUCAGGUGUGGCUCAGAUCUGGCAUUGCUAUGGCUGUGGUGUAGGCCAGCAGCUGUAGCUCCAAUUAGACCCCUAGCCUGGGAACCUCCAUAUGCUGUAAGUACGGCCCUAAAAAGACAAAAGAGCAAAAAACAAAACAAAACACUAAUUCAAAGAAAAAAGAUAAUGUUAUUUUUAAAGGUUAUUCAUUUGCUUGCUGAACUCCCCCAAAUGAGUCCCCAUGAGGCUUAAAUUCCAGUCCAACUCCUAACCUACAAGAUCUUCCUCAACCUGGCUCUGACCUCUCCCUUGCUCUGAGGGUCUACACUGCAGCAACCACAGGAGGUGAAUUCUUGUUUCUCUAAGAUGCCUGACUCACUCCUGCCUCAGGGCCUUAGCACUUGCUUGUUACCUCCGUCCUGAAAGCUGGCUCUUGUUCCCUCAUACCCCAGCCCCAAACAAGUCAGGUUCUAGGCAGUGCUUUCUUUCUAUCACCUCCUCCAUGUGUUUCUUAGAAACUGUAUC